CCUACGGGUGGCAGCAGUGAGGAAUAUUGGUCAAUGGGCGCGAGCCUGAACCAGCCAAGUCGCGUGAGGGAGGACGGCCCUACGGGUUGUAAACCUCUUUUGCCGGGGAGCAACGGGCGUCACGUGUGGCGCCACUGAGAGUACCCGGAGAAAAAGCACAGGCUAACUCCGUGCCAGCAGCCGCGGUAAUACGGAGGAUGCGAGCGUUAUCCGGUUUUAUUGGGUUUAAAGGAGGCGUAGGCGGAUCGUUAAGUCAGUGGGUAAAUUGAGGGGCUCAACCUCUUCCCGCCAUUGAAACUGGCGCUCUUGAGUGGAAGAGAAGUAUGCGGAAUGCGUGGUGUAGCGGUGAAAUGCAUAGAUAUCACGCAGAACUCCGAUUGCGAAGGCAGCUUACUAAGCCAUAACUGACACUGAAGCACGAAAGCGUGGGGAUCAAACAGGAUUAGAUACCCUAGUAGUC
rnacentral:rRNA from 1 species